AUGAGAGGAGUUGCGGUGGUGGCCAUGCUGGUUGCGGCCUUCGCCGUGUCUGCACAAGCGGAGCAGUGCGGCUCGCAGGCCGGCGGGGCGACGUGCCCCAACUGCCUCUGCUGCAGCAAGUUCGGCUUCUGCGGCUCCGGCUCCGACUACUGCGGCGACGGCUGCCAGAGCCAGUGCAAGGGCUGCGGCGGCGGCGGCACCCCGGUACCGGUACCGACCCCCUCCGGCGGCGGCGUGUCCUCCACCUUAACACCAACAAUCGCUCUUCGACCAGAUGCUGCUGCACCGCAACGAUGCGGCGUGCCAGGCCAAGGGGUUCUACAACUACGGCGCCUUUGUUGCCGCUGCCAACUCGUUCUCGGGCUUCGCGACCACGGGUGGCGCCGACGUCAGGAAGCGCGAGGUGGCCGCGUUCCUCGCUCAGACCUCCCACGAGACCACCGGCGGGUGGCCGACAGCGCCCGACGGCCCCUACUCGUGGGGCUACUGCUUCAACCAGGAGCGUGGCGCCACCUCCGACUACUGCACGCCGAGCUCGCAGUGGCCAUGCGCGCCGGGCAAGAAGUCUUCGGGCGCGGGCCCGUCCAGAUCUCACACAACUACAACUACGGGCCAGCGGGACGGGCCAUCGGCACCGACUUGCUAAACAACCCGGACCUUGUGGCCACGGACGCCACUGUGUCAUUUAAGACGGCGCUAUGGUUCUGGAUGACGCCGCAGUCACCCAAACCUUCCAGCCACGACGUGAUCACAGGCCGGUGGAGCCCCUCGGGCGCCGAUCAGGCGGCGGGGAGGGUGCCUGGGUACGGAGUGAUCACCAACAUUAUCAACGGUGGCCUCGAGUGCGGGCGCGGGCAGGACGCCCGUGUCGCCGACCGGAUCGGGUUCUACAAGCGCUACUGCGACCUUCUCCGCGUCAGCUAUGACAACAACCUGGACUGCUAUAACCAGAGGCCGUUCGCAUAG
rnacentral:rRNA from 1 species